rnacentral:rRNA from 1 species
UGGGGAAUAUUGCACAAUGGGCGCAAGCCUGAUGCAGCCAUGCCGCGUGUGUGAAGAAGGCCUUCGGGUUGUAAAGCACUUUCAGCGGGGAGGAAGGCGUUAAGGUUAUUAACCUUGGCGAUUGACGUUACCCGCACAAGAAGCACCGGCUAACUCCGCGCCAGCAGCCGCGGUAAUACGGAGGGUGCAAGCGUUAAUCGGAAUUACUGGGCGUAUAGCGCACGCAGGCGGUUUGUUAAGUCAGAUGUGAAAUCCCCGGGCUCAACCUGGGAACUGCAUUUGUUACUGGCAAACUUGAGUCUGGUAGAGGGGGGGAGAAUUCCAGGUGUAGCGGUGAAAUGCGUAGAGAUCUGGAGGAAUACCGGUGGCGAAGGCGGCCCCCUGGACAAAGACUGACGCUCAGGUGCGAAAGCGUGGGGAGCAAACAGG